GGAUGUAAGGGUGAGCUGGCUGGAAUAUCUGUUACCCCAUUGAUCACCAGGGUCGAUUCAGCUGAUCUGGCUGGCUAGUGGCUGUCCCCUUCUUCCCUCAAUGCUCCAUGUGUGUCUUCCUGACACUGCAUGCUUGGUUGAAGAGAAGAACCACCUUGCUAGAAGAGGACCAUUUUCUUGGUCAAUGGUAUAGGAAUAACAUGCUUCCCAAACAAGUUCUCAAAGUAUGAACAGCAGAAUCAACCAAUCUAAGGACAAAAUAUCAGAUCUAGAAGACAUGUUUGCAGUUACUGGUCAUCACAUGAUAGACUUCCUAAAAAUAGCAAGGGCUAUGAAAAAAAUCA
rnacentral:snRNA from 1 species